rnacentral:rRNA from 1 species
UACGUAGGGUGCAAGCGUUAAUCGGAAUUACUGGGCGUAAAGCGUGCGCAGGCGGUUUUGUAAGUCUGUCGUGAAAUCCCCGGGCUCAACCUGGGAAUUGCGAUGGAGACUGCAAGGCUGGAGUCUGGCAGAGGGGGUAGAAUUCCACGUGUAGCAGUGAAAUGCGUAGAGAUGUGGAGGAACACCGAUGGCGAAGGCAGCCCCUGGGUCAAGACUGACGCUCAUGCACGAAAGCGUGGGGAGCAAACAGG